GAGAGAGGUUGGGGGAAUAAGCCGCAGUGGCGGGGCGGAGAGUGGUGCCCGCCAGUGGAGGAAGGCUGGCCGUGAGGAGACCGAGCUGGCCCUACCUACCUACCUACCGUUUGCCAUCAGGAACACAGGCCGAGCACCAAAGCCUGGCCAGCGAAUCAAACCACCGGCCUCACACCAGUUCCUCCCGCUUCUUCCUCCACAGGGCGGGACUGGAGGGAGGAGCUGGGGGUUGUUCCACCCAGAGUCGAAACGAUAUGGAUGCUACCAGUCAGUUCCUCAGCUUGGGGACUUGUUUGACCAUCACAACAACCAUUUAAGAGUUAACCACUUUGCUGAAGGUCUGGAUUCAUACAUAGCCUAGGCUGAUUCUGAGGAAGCUGAUGAGGCCAGUAUGUGAUCCACAGAUUCUUCCACGAAUGCCUGAUGAGCAUGAGGCUGGUUAAUUCGUGAUCACCAGUGGUGGAGCUCCAUCCAGCGCGGCCUGCCGGCUUCGGAAGCCGCGGGUCUCCAGUAAGGAAGCGGCCGUUCCAGGUUUCCCAUGCC